rnacentral:rRNA from 1 species
UCGGGAAGAGCUCAAAUUUAAAAUCUGGCAGCUUNGUUGCCCGAGUUGUAGUCUGGAGAAGUGUUUUCUGUGCCGGACGCGUGUACCAAGUCUCUUUGGAAUAGAGCGUCGUAGAGGGUGAGAANUCCCGUCUUUGACACCGGACUGCUCGUGCUCUUGAGGAUGCGCUCUCAACNGAGUCGAGUUGUUUGGGAAUGCAGAUCANAAAUGNGNGUGGUAAAUUCCAUCUAAAGCUAAAUAUUGGCGAGAGACCGAUAGCGAACAAGUACCGUGAGAGAAAGAUGAAAAGCACUUUGGAAAGAGAGUUAAACACUACGUGAAAUUGCUGAAAAGGAAACGCUUGAAGUCAGUCUNGCAUUGGCCACAANUCUCAGCCACGCUUUUUUUUUUGCCGGGUGCAUUUUCGGGUAGAGGGGCCAGCAUCAAUUUUGACCGCUGGAUAAAGGGCUUAAGAAAGUGUGGCACCUUCGGGUGUGUUAUACCCCUUGGUCACAUGCAGUGGUGGGAGAUAGAAGAUCUCANNGCAUGCCUUUCGGUCGGGGUUCCCCCACGUUCAUGCUUAGAGAUGUUGCGCGUAAUGGCUUUAANACGACCCGUCGUGAAACACGGACCAGAGGAGUCUAACGUGCCUGCGAGUGUUUGGGGGGGAAAACCCGAGCGCGCAAUGAAAGUGAAAGUUGGGUAUCCCUGUCGUGGGGAGCACCGACGCCCGGACCAGACUCUUUUGCGACGGACUCCGCGGUAGAGCANNUGUAUGUUGGGACCCGAAAAGNAUGGUGAACUAUGCCUGAAUAGGGUGAAGCCAGAGGAAACUCUGGUGGAGGCUCGUAGCGAUUCUGACGUGCAAAUCGAUCC